UUAACGAAUUUUAAGUCGGCCUUGCUGUGCUGGUGGAAACACAUGUGCACGCUCGGUCGCAAAUCCACACACCUGUGCAUCUAUGACUCGAAGUCGUCGUCGUAUGACCGAGAGUAACUUUUACACACUCUUGAAUGUAAAGGAAUGUUCAUGUGCAUAAUGUACAAUUAAACAACUUUCAACAACGGAUCUCUUGGCUCUCGCAUCGAUGAAGAACGCAGCGAAAUGCGAUAAGUAAUGUGAAUUGCAGAAUUCAGUGAAUCAUCGAAUCUUUGAACGCACCUUGCACCCUUUGGUAUUCCGAAGGGUACACCCGUUUGAGUGUCAUUGUAAUCUCACUUCUACAACUUUUUUGUUGUCGAAUGUGGACUUGGACGUCUGCCGUGUUUCAACGGCUCGUCUUAAAUGUCUGAGUGUACCCCGCUUUGCGGCGUAUUCGGUGUGAUAAACAUUUCACCGGAGUUUGGUCUUCUGACCGCGCUUUUGCAAUUGGUGGGCUCUAUGCUUUCCAACCGUCCCUUGUGGACAAAUCUUUGACAAUUUGACCUCAAAUCGGGUGGGACUACCCGCUGAACUUAAGCAUAUCAAUAAKCGGAGGAAAASAAACUAACAAGGAUUCCCCUAGUAACGGCGAGUGAAGAGGGAAAAGCUCAAAUUUUGAAUCUGGUGUCUUUGACUCCCGAGUUGUAAUCUAGAGAAGUGUUUUCCGUGUCGGACCRCGUAUAAGUUCCCUGGAACGGGGCGUCAUAGAGGGUGAGAAUCCCGUAUAUGCCGUGGACUACCGAUGCUCUGUGAUACACUCUCAACGAGUCGAGUUGUUUGGGAAUGCAGCUCAAAAUGGGUGGUAAAUUCCAUCUAAAGCUAAAUAUUGGCGAGAGACCGAUAGCGAACAAGUACCGUGAGGGAAAGAUGAAAAGCACUUUGGAAAGAGAGUGAAACAGUACGUGAAAUUGUUGAAAGGGAAGCGUUUGAAGUCAGUCACGUUUGUUGGGAUUCAGCCUGGCUUCUGCCUGGUGUAUUUCCUAGCCGAUGGGUCAGCAUCAGUUUCGACCAAGGGAAAAAGACAUUUGGAAUGUGGCUGUCUUCGGGCAGUGUUAUAGCCUUGUGUUGUAUGCCUUGGUUGGGACUGAGGAAUGCAGCGCGCCUUAUGGCCGGGGGUCGCUCCUCUCGACACGCGCUUAGGAUGCUGGCAUAAUGGCUUUAAGCGACCCGUCUUGAAACACGGACCAAGGAGUCUAACAUGUGCGCGAGUGUUUGGGUGUAAAACCCGAGCGCGAAAUGAAAGUGAAAGGUCGGGAACAUUCAUUUGUGCACCGACGCCCGGAGCAGACCUUCUGUGACGCWUCCGCGGUAGAGCGUGUAUGUUGGGACCCGAAAGAUGGUGAAYUAUGCCUGAAUAGGGUGAAGCCAGAGGAAACUCUGGUGGAGGCUC
rnacentral:rRNA from 1 species